GGGGAUCAAACUCAGGACCUUACAAUUGCAAGGCAGAGAUAAACUACGGAGCGCACAGUGGGUGUUCAAAAACCAUGCAAGAGGUGCUUGCGAAGGCGGCACUGCUCCUCGGUGGCAGCACUCUGGCAGAAGGAGGGACGCAAGCCAGGCAUUUUCCGUGCCAGGCUGGGUACCACGGUCACUUACUGAAAGCCACGGCGGGAAAACCGCGGGCCGAGGGAGCGGCUCGCGGCGGCUCGCGGCAGCGCGCGCUCUGCUGGCGGGG
rnacentral:lncRNA from 1 species